UCUCGAUAACGUAAAAGUUAAUUCGAUUUUGUAUGGAGUUGGAACGUUUGCCUAAGUUUGCCGCUAGUGGCGCUGUCCAAACUCCAUACAAAAUCGAGUUAACUUUUACGCUAUCGA
rnacentral:pre_miRNA from 9 species